AUUGAACGCUGGCGGCAGGCCUAACACAUGCAAGUCGAACGAGUGGCGGACGGGUUAGUAAUGUCUGGGAAACUGCCUGAUGGAGGGGGAUAACUAAUGGCAACGGUAGAUAAUACCGCAUACCAUCGGAUGUGCCCAGAUGGGAUUAGCUAGUAGUGUGGGUAAAGGCUCACCUAGGCGACGCUCCCUAGCUGGUCUGAGAGGAGGACCAGCCACACUUUAACUGAGACACUGUCCAUACUCCUACGGGAGGCAGCAGUGGUGAAGAUUGCACAAUGGGCGUAAGCCUGAUGCAGCCAUGCCGCGUGUAUGAAGAAGGCCUUCGGGUUGUAAAGUACUUGCAGCGGUGAGGCGUUACCCGCAGAAGAAGCACCGGCUAACUCCGUGCCAGCAGCCGCGGUAAUUC
rnacentral:rRNA from 1 species